AACGAACGCUGGCGGCAGGCCUAACACAUGCAAGUCGAGCGAGUCCUUCGGGGCUAGCGUCGCACGGGUGUGUAUAGCGCGGGAACAUCCCCUUUUCUAUUGGAUAUAACCGCGAGACUCGGCUUAAUAUCGCGUACGAUCUCUGGGGGAAAGAUUUAUCGGACAAGGAUCGGCCCGCGUUGGAUUAGGUAGUUGGUGGGGUAAUGGCCCACCAAGCCGACGAUCCAUAGCUGGUGUGAGAGGAUGAUCAGCCACACUGGGACUGAGACACGGCCCAGACUCCUACGGGAGGCAGCAGUGGGGAAUCUUAGACAAUGGGGGCAAGCCUGAUCUAGCCAUGCCGCGUGAGUGAUGAAGGCCUUAGGGUUGUAAAGCUCUUUCAGCUGGGAAGAUAAUGACGGUACCAGCAGAAGAAGCCCCGGCUAACUCCGUG
rnacentral:rRNA from 1 species